GAACUUUCUGCUAGCUCUCUAAAGGAAUGAAAAUAACCUUGGGUUCUCACUAAGCAUCAAUUCUGUGACUGGCUCUGUGGGGUAGAGAUGAAAAGGCUCACUCAGUUCCAGCCCCUGCAGAUCCCCCAGGACCCUGGCAGCAGCAGAUCUAUGAGCCCACAUUUCCCCCUGCUUGUGAGGAUCACACCAAGAGAGACAUUCACAUCCUGGCCUCACAAAGAAGAGAUGGCAAAGUGGAAAAAGGCCGGAGUCCCCAACCCUGAGCCCUUUACCCUGUCUCAGUCUUUUAUAACGAGGUGUGUGUGCUUGGGCAAUGCCUCUCUCUUCUGGGACUCAGUGUACCCAUCUCUGCUGUGGGGAGGUUGGACUAGAUGAGAGUUUCCCAAACUCCAGUUGUUUCUUUCCCUCCCUCCACACCUGGAGAUCAGAACACCUGUACUAAAAAGUACUGAAAAUCUUUAUUCAAAUGAGCUCACUUUUUUUCAACCAAAAUAAACUUAUUUUAGAGUGAAA